rnacentral:rRNA from 1 species
AAUUUUUCACAAUGGGGGCAACCCUGAUCCAGCCAUCCCGCGUGUGCGAUGAAGGNCUNNGGGUUNUNAAGCACUUUUGGCUGNNNNNAAAAGGCUCUGGCUAAUACCUGGAGCUGCUGACGGUACCUGCAGAAUACGCACCGGCUAACUACGUGCCAGCAGCCUCGGUAAUACGUAGGGUGCAAGGCUUAAUCGGAAUUACUGGGCGUAAAGCGUGCGCAGGCGGUUCGGCAAGAAGGAUGUGAAAUCCCAGGGCUUAACCUUGGAACUGCAUUCUUAACUGCCGGGCUAGAGUAUGUCAGAGGGGGGUAGAAUUCCGCGUGUAGCAGUGAAAUGCGUAGAGAUGCGGAGGAAUACCGAUGGCGAAGGCAGCCCCCUGGGAUAAUACUGACGCUCAUGCACGAAAGCGUGGGGAGCAAAC